rnacentral:pre_miRNA from 1 species
GCUAUUUAUAGAAAGAGCGUUGACACGCAGUGGAGAAUGAGAACUCCACUGCGUGUCAACGCUCUUUCUAUGAGUAAAUAUA